rnacentral:rRNA from 1 species
AUGGAGCCCGAGGCCUCCAAGGAGGCGGAGAAGCAGCCGAUGGAUGCGGAGGCCGGAGAUCCAGCAGAUCCCCGCGACCUAGUGUCCAGCGACGAUGAGAUAGACUACUCCGUGGAGCCUGAGUUCUACGACCCCGCCGUAGACGAUGUCGAUGAGCGCUGGGCGCACAAGCAGAGGAAAGGACGGACCUCUGACGCCGUGCUCAGCUGCCCCGCGUGUUUCACUACCUUGUGCCUGGAUUCCCAGAGGCACGAAAAGUAUGUUAACCAGUACCGUGCAAUGUUUGUGUGCAAUUGCAAGGUCAAGAUUAAUCAGAUUCUACGGGAGGGGAAAGGAAAAAGGAAGAAUCGGAAAGUAACGGCUGUUGAUUCUACUACACCAGAAGUUGAAAACAAGGGGCCAGUUUAUCACCCUGUUUGUUGUGAGAUCUGCUCAACUGAGGUUGGAGUGUUUGAUGAAGAUGAAGUUUACCACUUCUUUAAUGUCAUUCCUAGUAACUCAUGA